CUUGUAGCUCAGGUGGUUAGAGCGCACCCCUGAUAAGGGUGAGGUCGGUGGUUCAAGUCCACGGAGG
rnacentral:tRNA from 1 species